UACAGAGGGUGCAAGCGUUGUUCGGAAUUAUUGGGCGUAAAGCGCGUGUAGGCGGUCUUGCAAGUCGGGUGUGAAAGCCCUCAGCUCAACUGAGGAAGUGCGCCCGAAACUGCAGGGCUUGAGUACCGGAGAGGAUGGCGGAAUUCCCCAAGUAGAGGUGAAAUUCGUAGAUAUGGGGAGGAACACCGGUGGCGAAGGCGGCCAUCUGGACGGAUACUGACGCUGAGACGCGAAAGCGUGGGUAGCAAACAGG
rnacentral:rRNA from 1 species